UGCAGCCGUGCAGCCUCGGGAACCAGAGGUGUUCUUGUGCUCGUCUGAAGCGAGCGAGUCCUGCGGGAGUUCACAGCGAUCCUGAAGCCUUGGACCCAGCUGUUGAUUUUUAAUUGAUGCUGCUCAGUUUGGCUUCAAGGCUUUCAGAAUGAAAUGGACAACAAGAAACAAAUUUAAAAGUUCAAAGUGACAAUUCCUCGUGGCCUGGACAGCCGCUGCCCACGGCUCCCUGGCACAGCGCUGCAAAGGCCAAUUGCUCGUGGCCGGCGCAGCGCAGGCUGCAAAGGCCGGGCUCUGCAGUGCGGGGCUGGGGCUGGCACACGUGUGCCAGCGUGGCCAAAGCCUCUCAGGGCUCUGGGCACAGCAGGGGCCACAAGGCCACGGGUCCGGGGGCUGCUCCGGGCCGCUUCCUGCCCGCUGCGCUGCUGUUGGGCUGCCGGGGGUGGCCCUUUGUGACACGGGCGCGUGGGGUCAGGGCCCUCUGUGAUGCGGGACACGGUGGUGGCCAGAGAGCCUUGUGACAUCAGGGAGCCCCAGCCUGGCUGAGGGUAUCCAAGGGGCGCAGAGCCCUGGGGUGCCCAGUCCCAGGAGAGCCGCUCUCUCAGGAGGAAGCAGCUCCCUGCGUCUCUCUUCAUGAGAAGACAGUGGACAUUACAUCAAAUUACACGGAAGAUGGACAGAGAGAAAGAGAAUCCCAACUCCCAGACCACCCAAGGCCACCUGCUGAGCCUGCGGAGGAGGCCAAGAGAGAGGGAUGAGGCAGGAAGGAGAGGCCAGCGGACGGAGAAGGCCAGGAUCUUUGCUGUGCCAAGGGAGCCGUCUCCGUCCCACGUGUCCUCAUCCUCAUCCUCCUCACAGGUGCCCCUCAAGCUGCCACCGGUGGAGGUGAGGCAGCCAAAGGUGGGACCCAAAAACCUGAACAAACCAUCGGUCUCACCAAUGGAGCUCAGGCAGCCACAGGCAGCACCACAGGGCAGCCAGAGCCGGGCCCUGUCCCUCUGUGGGGACAGGCUGCCACGGCUGCCACGGCUGCCACAGCAGCCACAGUUGCCAAAGCUGCCACCACUGCCACAGCUGCCAUGGCUGCCACAGCUGUCACCGCUGCCACAGCUGCCACCACUGUCACCGCUGCCAAGACUGCCACAGCUGCCACCACUGCCACCACUGCCCUGCCUGGUGAGUCCCAGGCACACUCACAGCCAGGGCACAGAGCUGGGGAGCGCAGGAGAGAAGGGGCCCCAGCCCUGCAGCCCCUGUCCUGGGCAGCCACACACCCCCGUGCCCAGGGUGCUCUUGCCCCCGCUCAGGGUGGCCCAGGAGGGCACAGCCCUUGUGUCCCCAAGCUGGCAGCUGCAGCCUCUGCCACCCAUCCCCUCGGGGGCUCGAGCCGUGGAGCGCAGCCUCAUGGGCACAGCUCCAGGAAAAUGGGAUAACAGUGAGCUGUCCCGAGGGGAAAGUGACAGUGACCAGGAGCUGUCCCCAGUAGAAGAGGCCACUGAGCUCUCUCCAGGGGGCAGCAAGAGUGAGCCAGGGGUGUCCUCAGUGGAAGAGGCCAUCAACAUGAUUCCAGGGGACAGCACGAGUGACCAGGAACUGUCCUCAGUGCAAGAGGCCAUCGUGGCUGUUUCAGGGGACAGCCCAACAGAUGAGGAGCUGUCCUCAGUGGAAGAGGACAUCGAGGGCAUUGCAGAGGACAACACAAGUGACGAGAAGCUGUCCCCAGUGGAAGAGGCCUCUGAGGUCAUUUCAGGGUACAGCCCGACUGAUGAGAAGCUGUCCUCAGUGGAAGAGGCCAUCGAGGUCGCUCCUGAGGACAGCACAAGUGACGUCGGGCUGUACCCAAUGGAAAAUGACAAGGAGCACUCCCGAGGGGACAGCAAGAGUGACAAGGAGCUGUCCCCAGGUGAAAAGGAGUGUGAAAAAGAGCUGUCCCAAUGGCUAGAACAUGAAGCUGGAGAGCUCUCCCAAUGGGAAGAACAAGAGGAUGAAGAGCUCUGCCAUUGGGAAGAUGAGGAUGAAGCACUCUCCCAUAGGGAAGAAUGUGAGGUUGAAGAGCUGAGAAGGAUGACCCUGCUUGGUGGUAUGGAAGAAGAUUCAAGCUCAUCACCUGAACUGCCCAAAGUGGAAGAGAUAUCAAGACAUCAGAAGGUUGUGGAAUGGCUGGAAGCCAAUUUCCCCAAUGAUUAUGGUGAUGAGAAGGAAGAGAAGGAAGAGAAGGAAACUGAACUGAAUCAAAGAAUGCAAUGGUGCAAGCAGAAGGUGGAGGCCCAAUGGCGAGAGCUGUUGGACUCCUUGUCACUUCUCAGUGACGACGUGCAUUCCAAAGGGGAGCAGUGCAAAGUCCAAGAGAUGUCCCAAGGGGAAGAUGCCAUCCAGGACAACAUCUGCAAUAAACCCUUGGGGGAUGAUGAGGAACCCCUGGAGGGACCCAGCUGCUCCAGGCAUGUGGGCGCAGAGCUGGCAGCAGAGGCAGCCCGUGCCCUGCCCAGCGCCCCUCCUGCCCUAUGGAGUCCCACGGACACCGAGCUGGCAGCUGCUACCCCGGCCGGAGCUACUGAGGAGGAGGAGCCCCCUGAGGUUGUUGCUCCAGAGGAUGGAAAGGCAGCACAUUCUCUUCUCCUCAGUGAGGCGAGGACAGCCCCGGACACAUGGAGCCUGCUCAGUGUCCUGUUCUAUACUCCAGCCAGCAGCCCGGCUCAGCUGAGCAUGAACCAGAGCAGCAGCAGUGAGACCCUGCACACGGCUCUGCUGGAGAUGCAGGCACUGAGGCAGCAGCAGCAGCAAGAGGAUGCCCUGGAAGAAGGGAUUGCUGCAGAAAGAGAAGCAGCAAUUACAGCAAAAAGGGAAGGGAGCCCGGUGCCUGCCCCGCACGGCCCCCCCAGGCCCUGGCCCCAGCUGGGAGCCCAGGCCCUCCAUGGGCAGCCGGUUGCCCCCAGGAGACGUCCCUCCCGCUUCAGGCGGGCGCUGCGGGCGCUGCGGGCGCUGUUCCGGUGGCCCUGCCUGAGGCCACAGCCGGAGGAGUAAAACAGGGCACCGAGAGCAGGGAUUGCUCCCACAGCCUCCCUCCCGGCAGGACUGCGGCUCACACGGGGCGGCCAACACCAACGGGAGCUGGGACACCAACGGGAACAGGAAGAGGAGCACAAAGGAGGCGGUGACCAUGGAGAAGAGGAAGAAGAUGAUGAAGAAGGGGAAGGAAAUGAAGAUGAAGAAAGCGACCAAGAUGAAGAAGACCAAGAAGAUGAAGAAGGCCAAGAAGAUGAAGACGAAGACAAAGAAGAUGAGGAUGCUAAAGAUGAAGACAAAGAAGAUGAAGAAGACUGAGAUGAUGCUGAAGACGACUAAGGCGAAGAAGAAGACGAAUAAGGCGAAAGAAGAAGAUGAAGAAGCAGAAGAAGGAGAAGAAGAAGAAGAGGACGAGGAGGAGGAAUACUUUGAAGAUACAUAGGAGAAAAAGAAUAGUCAUAAGAAUUUUAAAAAUACCUAGAAGUAGAGGAAGAAGAGAAAUAAGAAUAAGGAUAGGAAUAGGAGUAAGAAUAAGAAUUUCACAAUGUAGAAGAUUAAUAGGAAUAGGGAUUUGAAUUUUGAAAUGCAUAGAUGAAGAAGAUUAAGAAAAGUAAGAAUUUGAAGUUUAAAAUACAUAGAAGAAAAGGAAAAGAAGAGUAGUGAGAAGAAGGUGUAUAGAAGAAGAAGAAGAAGUAGGAGAAGAAGAAGAAGUAGUUUAGAAUCCAUAAAUGAAGAAGAGCUCAAAUGAAUAAAUGAAAUUACCAAAUAAUUUGUAUUUAUUAC
rnacentral:lncRNA from 1 species